UGCUAAAUAGGAUCGGGAACCUCGGUUCUCGCAUCACUUCUUAGAGGGACUUUGCGUGUCUAACGCAAGGAAGUUUGAGGCAAUAACAGGUCUGUGAUGCCCUUAGAUGUUCUGGGCUGCACGCGCGCUACACUGAUGCAUGCAACGAGUUUUUGACCUUGGCCGGAAGGUCUAGGUAAUCUUUUGAGUAUGCAUCGUGAUGGGGAUAGAUUAUUGCAAUUAUUAAUCUUCAACGAGGAAUGCCUAGUAGGCGCAAGUCAGCAGCUUGUGCCGAUUACGUCCCUGCCCUUUGUACACACCGCCCGUCGCUGCAACCGAUCGAAGGGUCCUGUGAACUCGAUGGACAGCCCAUCCCCUUCUUGGGGUUGGGCUGGAAGUUGCGUAAAUAGAGCCCUUUAAAGGAUGCAAAAGUCGUAACACGGUUUCCGUAGGUGAACCUGCGGAAGGAUCAUUC
rnacentral:rRNA from 1 species